GGAAGCGUGGCUGAGUGGUUUAAGGCACUGGUUUCGAAAACCAGCGGGUCCGAAAGGGCCUCGGAGGUUCGAAUCCUCCCGCUUCCG
rnacentral:tRNA from 1 species